CUACCUACUACGCGAAUGCUUUUUGUGCUUUCUGCGUGUGUAUGUAUGCGCGCGGCAACGGGGCCCAGCGGAGCACACGCUCUGUUGUGUACGCGGUGCACCCGGGGGCUCAUCCGCGGAGGGUUCUGAAGAAGAAGAAGCACAUAAGACGAUGUAGACGACGAGGACGAUGAGCGGGCCGUUUCCUUUCUUCCCCUAUGGUCUCUCGAGUUUUA
ensembl:ncRNA F52B5.9 ncRNA